rnacentral:rRNA from 1 species
GACGGAAGGUGCAAGCGUUGCUCGGAAUCAUUGGGCGUAAAGGGUGCGUAGGCGGCUUGGUGGGUCUGGUGUGAAAGCCCCGGGCUUAGCCCGGGAAGGGCGCUAGAAACUGCCGAGCUCGAGUGCCGGAGGGGAGAGUGGAAUUCCUGGUGUAGCGGUGAAAUGCGUAGAGAUCAGGAGGAAUACCGGUGGCGAAAGCGACUCUCGUGGACGGCAACUGACGCUGAGGCACGAAAGCGUGGGGAGCAAACAGG